CGGCCUAUGGCCGAGGUUAGAGUGCUUCAUUGACAUUGAAGAGAUCACAGGUUCGAGUCCUGUCAGAUUCA
rnacentral:tRNA from 1 species